rnacentral:rRNA from 1 species
UACGUAGGGGGCAAGCGUUGUCCGGAUUCAUUGGGCGUAAAGAGCGUGUAGGCGGCCAGGUAGGUCGGUUGUGAAAACUGGAGGCUCAACCUCGAGACGCCGAUGGAAACCAUUUGGCUAGAGUCCGGAAGAGGAGAGUGGAAUUCCUGGUGUAGCGGUGAAAUGCGCAGAUAUCAGGAAGAACACCCGUGGCUAAGGCGGCUCUCUAGUACGGUACUGACGCUGAGACGCGAAAGCGUGGGGAGCGAACAGG